UUUUUUUUUAAAUAUCUUGCUCACCCUUGGCUUCCUGAAACCCCUAUUCCCUUUACACUCUACUGGCGCUACACACUUCCACAGAACUCCGGUAGAUACACAUACAGCCUCUAUACAAAUACAUACACACUACAUCUAAACACAUACAUACAUACAUCCCCUAUACCAACAAUACCAGUGCUGGACUGGCUAAUGGAUGUCACGGUGGGAUAUCUUAGCUUGGGCUGGUCAGAC